CUACACAUGCAAGUCGAACGAGAACGGAUUUUAGUUUACUAAAAUUGUCAGCUAAGUGGCGCACGGGUGAGUAAUAUAUAGUUAACCUGCCCCAAAGAAGAGAAUAAUUGAUGGAAACGUCUUGUAACUCUCUAUAUGCCUUUAUCACAUAAGUGAGCAAGGGAAACAUUUAUGGCUUUGGGAUGGGACUGUACGGUAUCAGAUAGUUGGUGAGGUAAUGGCUCACCAAGUCAAUGACGCCUAACUGGUUUGAGAGGAUGAUCAGUCACACUGGAACUGAGACACGGUCCAGACUCCUACGGGAGGCAGCAGUGGGGAAUAUUGCACAAUGGAGGAAACUCUGAUGCAGCAACGCCGCGUGGAGGAUGACACAUUUCGGUGCGUAAACUCCUUUUAUAUGAGAAGAUAUGACGGUAUCNUAUGAAUCGCACCGGCUAACUCCGUGCCAGCAGCCCGCGGUANUACGGGGGGUGCAAGCGUUACUCGGAAUCCCUGGGCGUACGGAGCCUGUAGGCUG
rnacentral:rRNA from 1 species